AUCUGUCUAUCUAUCUAUCUAUCUAUCUAUCUAUCUAUCUAUCUAUCUAUCAUCUGUCUAUCUAUCUACUUAUGUAUCUAAUUUUUUAAAAUGGGAAACUAUGUGUGAUGGGUGAUUGGAUGUCAGCAACAGUAAUCGGGGUUGGGGGGCAGGGUGAAUUACAUUUAAUGAAGCUGGAAGUUCACAUGGACCUUUCAGACUUAAAAAAAAAAAUGUUGAUUUUACAUGCCAAAGUCUUGAAAGGGGCUUGACGGCUCACGGCUUUAGUGUGUUUUUCCAGAUGGCAGAUGCCAUUUUGUGUUUUGCAUAAACUGACUAAAUUUGCUUGCUCUUUGUACUUAUUUCAGAGAGAACCAUUCUCUGCUUUCAAUAGGACAGAAGAGCUCCUUGGCACUGCAUGCCUCCGGGUCUGGUUGAGAGAGGAAUGGUUAGGAGACUGUUCUGAGGAUACGCAGACAUCAUCCAAAGCUUCCUACAUUCAGAUGAGGACAGAGGUUGGGCCAGAGCAUGGCAUGCUUGUUACCUAAGGACGGUUCUGACGAUGUGAGCAAAUUACAGAAGCUGGAGACAAAGGAUGUGAAGAUGGGAGAGCCGCGUAAUGGAAGGAUCCCAGAUUUCAGAGUUGUCACUUGGAGGAGGGGCACCCAGUGAAGAGUGACCAUAUGGAUCAUACGGACCCUAUCCUUCAGAGGUGCUCAGCCCAAGGGAACAUGGGUAGUAGAUUAAGCACUGACCAGGUGAGUUAAGCUCUAUAAUUUACUGGCUGUAAUAUGAGCCAAAUCACUUGUCAUAUUUACUGUUUCUGAUCCAUAGAACUGUUGUGCAAAUUCAGUAAGUAAAACAUGUGAAACCUCAUUUGAAAAAAAAUAACAUAACAUAUACGUUUAUGUUUUUAUAGUAAUGAAGGAGGGUUGGGGCAGUAGGACAAGAGUCAUAGAAACGUGCGUGCUAUCACACAAAAAGGACACGUUGUACUUCCUUCUGGUGGUAGUUUACUGGUAUCCUCAAACAAAUCAUACCUGUGGGCUGGGGUACACCCGGUGAGCUACUAUUCUCAGGGGCCAGGGGCACGCUGUUGUGGUGAAGCCCAUGGGGAAGGCUGGGCCAGGUGGGAUGUUUACUCAGUGUGCCUGAAGGUGGUACAGCCAGAGCAGGGGUCAGGAUCAGAGAUUAAGAAGCAAACAUUCUAGUCAGAGAGUGGCUUGUUUUUGGCAGGGUUCAGAGGGUAGUGAGUGAGUAAAGCUGUAAAAGGAAAAUAAAUCCCAGCUCUGAAGCCAAAAAGAUAAACAAGUUAGGAUGUAAAACAUAAGUGAGAUAGGACAAGUGGUUCAGAACUAAGGCUUCAAAGAGUGAAAUCACUGAAGGGCCACCUUUCAUUGUGUUCCCUUCUUCAUGGCCUGGGUGUAUGGCAGGGUAGCACAUUUUUACAUGUGAGUGGUCUAGGCGGUGACAAAGAGGCAUGGACCUCAGUCUUUUUUCUU